UACAGGGGUUGCAAACGUUGCUCGGAAUCAUUGGGCGUAAAGCGCACGUAGGCGGUUCGUUAUGUCGGAUGUGAAAACCCGGAGCUCAACUCCGGGCCUGCAGUCGAUACGGGCAGACUGGAGUUCGGCAGGGGAGACUGGAAUUCCUGGUGUAGCGGUGAAAUGCGCAGAUAUCAGGAGGAACACCGGUGGCGAAAGCGGCUCACUGGACCACAACUGACGCUGAGGCGCGAAAGCUAGGGGAGCAAACAGG
rnacentral:rRNA from 1 species